UGCCAAGACCAGCUGUCCCCUUUGGCUUUCCAGAACCAUGACAGGUGGGAUGGGAGAGGCCAGAGGAAAAAAGGCCAGGGUGUCUGCACUGGGCCGGAACUACUUCUCCCAGGGAAGGUUUUCCAAAUGCAUCUCUCUGCCUACUUUCCCGAGCCGAGGGAGCUCAAGUCUGACUAAAAUCAAUGUGAAGAGUCUCCGUGGAUGAUGACCAUACAGAUCACCACUCCUUUGUGCCCUCUCCUGACCCAUCCACUGCGAG
rnacentral:lncRNA from 1 species